AUUUUACUUUCCCAGGUGGAACAAUUUUUGCAUUAGAUACCUUACUUUGCAUUCAAUAAAAAAAAUAAACUUUUAUUUUUUGUUAUUUUCAAUAUUUUGUUUUGUGGCAAAUCAGAUACACAGUCUCAUAUGUGAGGACUGAAGAACCAGAAAUUAAGAAAGUCCGCAAGCCGGAGCUCACAUUGGCUUCACAUAGUGUUAGGAACUGUCUUCAUUGCUUACAUAAUUAUAAGUUAUGUAAUAUACAUAAUAUUAUAUAUUUUUUAUACUAUAUAGAAUAUAGACUAUAAGUUGUAUUAUAAGUUAUAUAAUACACACACACACACACACACACACACAGACGCAUAUGAGUAGGUACCACUUGCUAAAAUUUCUGCUCUCUUCUCUGAAUUUUAUGCUGGCAAGACAAUGGAACAAUCAAAAAUAUUUUUCCUUUGCAUCCUUCCAGGCUCAAAUAGAAAAUUUCUUAACAAGCACGAGAAAUGAAAUUAGAUAGAUAAAAUCCAAUGAUCUUUAGUCACUUAUUGUUCGUUUCAGGUAGGAGAGUUGCAUGUGCUGGUGGAUUGUUCCUGUGAAAGAACCAGAGACAUCUGCAAGAAUUAAUUUCUCUGCAGGGAAAUUCUGAUUACUAUUAUGAAGUUGAGUUUAUCAUCAGAUGCAAAUGUGCAGUCAAAAAACUUAAAUGCUUUAAUUGCAAUAGAGUAGAUGCACUGACUAUGAGUCACUGAAAGGCUCUAAUGACUUUCUAACCAGAGGGAAUGUCUUGCCACGGAUGCUAUUAAACCAGUCAAGCCAGGUAUCUUGGCCUUUGAUAUGGAGAAAGGCAGGAAAAUUCCCAGAUAUUAAUCUUUCUUCUCCAUUAUCUCCUUAGAAUCUCAACAUGGAAGAACUCAAAUUUAACCUAAAUUAAUUAAAUUGGGGAUGGUACAGCAAAUCACAUAAACUGAAUUAAACAUGUUCAGACACUUGUGUCCUUACUUUGGAAGAAAGAUUAACUAGAUAAAGACCAGUCCAAUUCGAAGUGAACAUUGUGCACACAGUUUUCAUGUGGAUUAAUCCAGCCCACAAUGAAUUCCUACAGGUAUUUUGGAAGGAAUUUCCUGAGCACCUCUAGUGGACAAACCCUAAGGGACAGUCUUUCCACAAGCUCUGGGAUGCUGACUCCUCACCUACAGGAAACACUGGGUUCAGUGAGAAGCCUCUAUCUGAUCACUCUAUCUGAUCAAGCCCCAUACCUGCCAGGUUCAGAGUGCAUCGGAAUGGGAAUCCAAAUCUGUAGUCUAUGGGAGGGAGAUGUUGAACUGGUUUCUUUCAGCUGCUGUCCCAGACAGGAGGAACACAAGAGGUCUGAUAGGUCAAUUGAGAGUUAUAGAGAAAGCAAGUUUUAACCUCUCACCUAAGAAGAUCAACAGGAGAUGCAAUUUGCCUCUGAACUAGAGUUACUAACUUUGAAGACGGAAGCUGGUGGUACACACUUUUCCAAAUACAGGUAACAUCCAGCUGCUGAACACUAAAGAGAAUUUUCCUGUUUCUUCAUACAUAAAUAUCUUGGUUUUAUUUACACUCCUACCUGUUCUAAAUGUGGAAACAGUAAUGAAAAACCACUCUGUCGAGAAAAGUUACCCUGUGGAAAAAGGUAUGUAAAAAAAUACAUCGUGCCAUAAGAACUUCAUCUCUCUGAAUACAGAAAUGUCUUGAGACUAUUUUAAAUUAUCUGAGUUGAUUAAAAAUAAAUCUAAACUGUAGUGUAAAUAGCAUGAGGAAGGGAGAGGUUGCAACAGAAUUCUGGUUUUGUUUUCUCUGCUUUUGCGUGAUGGCUGGAAGAAGAGAGUGACUGAUCCAGCUACAAGAAACAAAAUUCUCUUCUACCAAGGUCUUUGAAAAGCAAAAGCCUUUGUAUUUUUCUUCACUACCUGCCAUUGUUGUGCUUUUGUUUCUGUCAAUAUAAGCUGAUACGCACAUCAGUGAAAACACAGGAAAAAAGUUUCUAAGCAUGAACCAUGCCUAAAAACAAAUAAAUGUAUUGACUUUUGGGGUAGAAUACAUUCUAAAUUACAUGCCUUGAGUAUACAUUAAGCAACUGUAUCAGUUUCAGUAUUCACAAUCCACUGUGAAAUGCAAGAAGACAUGAUCUUAUUGUAUACCUGGAGAAUAUGACUGGCUUGAACUACAGUUCUGUCAAGGUGGCAGAGGAAUGUUCUGUUUCCCAGAGCAGGAAAUUAGCAGACAUCAGAAUAUGUGACUUUUCAUUAGAGGAAAAAAAGAAGAGGCAACUUGCAGAUUACACAAAAAAUAAGCACUUUGCCAUGUAGUUCCAAAAAUACAUUACUGCUGUAACACUUACAAAAUGAGUGGAUUAUUAGCUUCAAGCAACUUGUGCAAUUUAGAGAUCACUGUAUACCAUAUGUAACCAAUCAGAGAUCCCAAAAUGUGUUGUUUACAGCAUUCAUCCAUUAACUAAUUUCCUUGAAAAGUAAAAGCAUCAUGAACAGAAGAAAAUCCAGACCUGUUAAAGCCCAGGUGCUAUCUUAAAAAAGCAGGGGAGAGGAGUUAUAAAAUAAGCUCUAGGUUAUGCCAAAGCAUGAGAAAUUUACUAGGAUUAAUGAAAUCAUGUGAAAAACAUUAUAAAAGCACAUGCUGAAAUGGAAAAUUAAGAACAAUAAAAGCAUAUUUUAACAUGCAUUCAACAUUACAAUUUUUAUUCAAAGUUAAGUAAAUCUGUUUCUAGAGAAACAAGUUGUGUCAAAUAAGACUCAGAUAAAAAUUAUCCUUUCUUUUUUUUGGUUUCAGGUUGCGUGUGAUAAGAUUUAUGGGGUAAUAAUUCCCUUACACCCAGUGCAAAACAAACUUGGGUAUAUGUACAAUGGUAGACAAGAUAUGGAGAUAAUUGCACUUGACAUCUGAGCCUUCUAUCCCAGACUCAUUACCCACUAGUUAUAUUAUAAAACAAAGCUGAAUGCAGUCUGAACAUACACAAUACAGGUUAACAUGAAACUUAUAUAAAUCAAAUGAAAAAUUAUCCAUUUAACAUACACUACUGAAAUUACUGUUCUACAGGUACACAAAUACCAUGAAUUUGCUAAUGAUUAUUCUUUUAUUUAGUUUAGGUCUUCAGUGAACAGAAGCAUUAUUAUUAAAAAUGUUUUGGCCACUCUCAAGGUCCAGCCUCAGGCCAAAACAGUGUUCAUGAGGAGAGCAGAAAGACUUUCUCAUCCUAUUCACCACAAAUAAAACCACUCAUAAUUUGGUGAAGAAAAAAAAAAAAGAAGAAGAAGAAAAACAUGAACUUUGGUACAAAUGCUACAAGAUAAAAAUAAUACAGUUAAUAAAAAACAAGAUGAACACCACUCUUAUUUCUAGGGUGAAUGCCAAGUAAGAUCUUGAAAGUUCUUGAAAUCUGGGACUUCAGUCAAAAUUUAUAAUCUAAAUUCAUGCUGUUAAAAGAACGGCUCAUGUGAAUGAGCCUAGUUCUUGGAUAUUCCUCAAUAACAGAGACCUUCCUCACCAAGUCCUUCUAUUUUCUCUCUUGUGAUGGAUUCUUAAUUAUCUGAGUGAUUUCCAACCUGACGAUGUUGAAGAUGCAUAGAGCAUUUACAGCACAGUCAGUCACAGCAAGGAAAUUGCAAAACAUCCUGCCUGAUUUCUGUAUAUCUUUGAUAAUUUGGAGAGAGAUUACUAGGAGUCAUUGGACUGUAAACAUCGCCUGCCUUCCUAAUUGGAUCUUUGCUGAUGAGCAGAAGAGGAUGAUGGGAAGAGAACAGGUAGAUUUGUGAAAUGAAAUCUCCUGUAGGAGCAAGGAACGUAGACCACCAAUUGCUUGAUAUGAAAUGCGAACACCACUUUGCUAGUAAUGCUUAAAUACAGAAAGGUAUUUCAAUAUUGAAAUGGGCGACCUACCGAAGAAAGGCUUUCAACCCUAGUAUUGAGCAGCAAAAUCAGCCAUCUCAGAAAAAGAAGUUAAAAGGUAUUUAAUAAACAGAGUAGAUUUCUUACUACUUUAAAAGUAAUACAAAUAUUUUCAUUUCUUUCAGAGAAGGUUUCUCAUUUGAUGACUUCUACAUGAAAAACUAAACAGUAACAGAUAAUUUACAUGGACUAAGUCCAGAUUUCCCUAGUCCCUCAGGCAAUCCUGACCCAAGUGGAACCAGAGAGAGAAUCCAGGGGCCAGCUUUGCCUCCUGUGGGUUUAUUCAUGUGCCAGGGAAGCAGGAUUUAGUCCCAUGUGUAACUUGCACUGACAUCUGUGAGAGUCUAGCGGCUGGAAGGGCUGCACACAUAAGCCUUUGUGCACUGUUUCCACUAUGAGAUAUGCAGGAAUACUGAAGCGUACAGAUGUGAACCUGUAAUCAGACUGUUCCGGUUUAAUGACAACCAGCGUUUCCUUCACACUGCAAUAACUUUGUGUUUAAUACGUGGUUAUAGUAUUUCCUUCUUUCCAAAGGCAUGUGAUACUGUUUAUUUCUCUUUGUACAGAAAUAUAUACUAUAGGCUCUAAACCACUAACAGACAGUGUUAACCAGUUAGUUUUGGUUUACAAAGAUUGUUUUGUUUAAACAAAUAGUUCCAGUGAAACUAAAUCCUCAUCUGUAGCCAGUGAUUCCAGCAGGCUCUGGACCAGGCCCUAAAACAGGCGUGGGUUAGAACGAGCUAAUAUAUCAGUCUCACAUCCAGGAGUUGUAGAGGUUGCAGAGACUGAAGUUGCACAGACUUUGUAAUAAAUAUUUACAAAGCAGACAAUGAGUGUUUUAGAUCAAGUAUACAAUUUACCAUAGGGAAUGUAUGUAAUUGUCUGUGACUGUGACCUUUGAUUUCUAAGUCUCCUUUUGUAAGUACAUUCAUAGGUACAUUUUGACCAUCUAUUCCAGAGUACUAAAAAAUGCAGAGGAAAAGUGAUAUUAAUGUUGUAAUGUUGUAAUUUUUUAUGCCAGCAUGUUAGCUGAUUUUGCUGAGGCUUUUUUUUUUUUUUUUCCUAGUGCUACAAAUGAUAAUGGCAUUACAAUUUAAGAAAAACUAUUCAGUCACACAGGUAACACGAGGAACCUCUAACCUCAGUAGUUUAAGCAGCAUU